rnacentral:rRNA from 1 species
GACGAACGCUGGCGGCGUGCUUAACACAUGCAAGUCGAACGGUGAAGCGCCUUCCUUUUUGGUGGGUGUGGAUGAGUGGCGAACGGGUGAGUAACACGUGAGUAACCUGCCCCCUUCUUCUGGAUAACCGCAUGAAAGUGUGGCUAAUACGGGAUAUUCUGGGUCUGUCGCAUGAUGGGUCUGGGAAAGAUAUUGUUUCGGUGGGGGAUGGGCUCGCGGCCUAUCAGCUUGUUGGUGGGGUGAUGGCCUACCAAGGCGGUGACGGGUAGCCGGCCUGAGAGGGUGGACGGUCACACUGGGACUGAGACACGGCCCAGACUGCUACGGGGGGCAGCAGUGGGGAAUAUUGCACAAUGGGGGCAAGCCUGAUGCAGCGACGCCGCGUGAGGGAUGGAGGCCUUCGGGGUGUGAACCUCUUUCGCCAGUGAAGCAGGCCUGCCUCGUUUGUGGGUGGGUUGACGGUAGCUGGAUAAGAAGCGCCGGCUAACUACGUG